rnacentral:lncRNA from 1 species
GAUGCUGACUAACUCAAUCUUCAGUUAGACCAGUAGGCUUCACUAAUUCCUCAAUUCUAUAAAUUUACUCCAUUCAGCUUUUGUACUGAGAUACAUUCUACUAUUACAAGGGAAGGAGGCAAGAAUGUAUCUAAUGAAUCAGCAAAAACUUAUAAACAGGUCAAAGCACAGGCCAUCAUAAUAAAAGUCAACUAUUUAUUGAGGAAAUACCAUGUGCCAGACAAUGUAAUAAGCAUUUUACAAAGUUAUUUCAUUUUAUCUUACAUUUUAUCAAACAAUCCUAUGAAAUAUAUACCCAAUUUACAGAUGGGAAAACUGAGGCUCAACUAAAGUCAGGUAGCUCACUGAAGGUAAAAUAGCCAAGAAGUGAUGGAGCUAAGACUUGUAUACAGAAACUGGACCUUAAGUCAUUAUGCCAUACUGCCCCCUUCCAUAUCUAACUCAAUAUUUCAACAAGUGGUAUUUUUGUAGGGGUCCCAUCUCUAAAAAAGCAAACUGUAAAGAAAAUGAAGUAAAAAGCCUCAUGUAAAAAAGUCAAUGAAAUGAAUGACAGUUUUUUUUAAUUUUUUAAUUUUUUUUUUUUUUAGACAGGGUCUCACUGUUGCCCAGGCUGGAGUGUAGUGGCAGGAUCAUGGCUCACUUCAGCCUCGACCUCCCUGGGCUCAGGUGAUCCUCCCCACUUAGCCUCCUGAGUAGCUGGGACUACAGAUGCAUGCCCUCAUGCCUGGCUAAUUAAAAAAAUUUUUUUUGUAGGAUCAGGGUCUCACUAUGUUGCCUCGGCUGGUCUCAAACUCCUGGGGUCAAGUGAUCUGCCUGCCCUGGCCUCCCAAAGUGGCUGGGAUUACAGGUGUGAGUCACUGCACCUGGCCUCACAGUUUUAACAUGACAGCAUUAAUAAGGAGUGUUUUAAGCAGGGCAGAGUGGCAUGUACGUGUAGUCCCAGCUACUCAGGAGGCUGAGGAGGGAGGAUCACUUGAGACCAGGUUUUCAAGACCAGCCUAGACAACAUAGUAAGAUCUUGUUAUCAAAAAAGAAAAAAAAAUGUUUUACAAUGUAAUUUAAAGGGAAAAAUAAAAAUAAUUUCUAAAAUCUAAGAUGUGAGGUCAAUGUCAGGAUUUGUAUGACUCUCAAUCUAUCACUUUUUGAUACUGCAGGUGGAAGGAAGUUUUAUAGAAAAGGCCCCAGGUUGGCAAUUGAGAUGCCCAGACACAGAACUAGAUUCAUACUGGUAUGACUACCUCCUCCUUAGUCUUAAUACUUACCCUACUGUAUAAAUGCAAGGCAAAAGAAUGCUAAGGCAGAACACACAGUGAGUAGAGGCAUACACUAUAGAAACAAUUGCCUAGUUCAUGAUCUCAUCUUCCAAAAAAGUGGGGCAUCUCUGAGAGUCAGCCACUGCAACAGCAAUUAUUCAUUUAACAACUGUAUACUGCAGUGUUGCUCUCAAGUACAAGGCACUGUGCUUGACGGGAUUCUGCCAUCUUAUAUGUGAAACUGUAAUAAGACAUGCUAGUGGUAAAACCCAGUCUCUACCAAAAAUACAAAAAUUAGCCUGGUGAUAGUGGCAUGUACCUUUAAACCCAGCUACUUGGGAGGCUGAAGCAGGAGAAUCGCUUGAGCUUAAGAGAUGGAGGUGGCAGUGAGCCGAGAUCAAGCAACUCCACUCUAGUCUGGGUGACAGAGUGAGACCCUGUCUCAAAAAAAGAAGAGAAAAAGGCUGGGCGCGGUAGCUUGCACCUGUAAUCUCAGCACUUUGGGAGGCCGAAGGGGGCGGAUCACUUGAGGUCAGAAGUUUGAGACCAGUUUGGCCAAUGGUAAAACCCCAUCUCUACUAAAAAUACAAAAAUUCGCCGGGUGUGGUGGCACACGCCUGUGAUUCCAGCUACUCGGGGGCUGAAGCAGGAGAAUCGCUUGAAUCUGGGAGGCGGAGGUUGCACUGAGCCAAGAUCAUGCCAUUGCACGCCAGCCUGGCAACAGAGCGAGACUCUGUCUAAAUGAAUAAAUAAAUAAUUAAAAAGAAGAAGAUAUGUUAGGGUGGGAGUGGUGGCUCACGCCUGUAAUCCCAACACUUUGGGAGGUCGAGUUGGGCGGAUCCCUUGAGGUCAGAAGUUCAAGACCAGCCUGACCAAUGGUGAAACCCCAUCUCUACUAAAAACACAAAAAUUAGCCAGGUAUGGUCGCACAUGCCUGUGAUUCCAGCUACUCAGGAGGCUGAGGUAUGAGAAUCACUUGAAUCCAGGAGGCAGAGAUUGCAGUGGGCUGAGACUGUGCCACUGCACUCCAGCUUGGAUGACAAAGUGAGACUCUGUCUCAAAAAAAAAAAAAAGAAGAUAUGUUAAAAUGGAGUUCCAGCAGCAUUCUGUGGGGCUCGGGGUUCCUUCCAGGGCUAUUAAUGCUGGCCCUGGCUGGAGGGCUGUUCCAUAUGGAAGUCAUGGAAGCAAUAACUAGAGAAACCUGACAACACAGUAUGUUACAAAGCAUAAUGCAAAAGUCUUUCCCCACUGUUCCUAACUACCAUCACCACCAUUCUCCAGAGGCAAAGCUGGGACAUCUUAUCUCUUGCUAUUGCUAGCUGUUAGAGCAAGAGGUGGCCAUGAGAAGUGCUAAAAUAUAGGCAGUUGAGAGACCUAGUACAACAAAAUGACUCCUAAAUAUGAAUUCAAGUCUUGGCUCUGCCAUGACCUUAGCCUUGUUUUCUGGUAUCUUUAAGUCUGUUUUCCUUACAUAAAGCAGUAUGGCUUCAAGGUAGCACAGAGGUUCUCCAUCCUGGUGCAUAUCAGAAUCACCUGGAGAGAUUUAAAAAUAUCUAUACCUAUGCUCUUUGCAGUCCACUUAUAUCUGAAACUCUAAAGGCUUACUGUGGAAAAAAUAGGAGUGCAAAAGAUUUAUUGGAAAAAAAAAAACAAAACUCUAGGGACCAGUAUGUUUUAAAAGUACUUUGGGUAAAGAGUCAUUUCUCCAAAGAAGAAAUAUAAAUUGCCAAUAAACACAUAAAAAGAUGCUCAACAUCAUUAGCCAUUAGGGAAAUGCAAGUCAACAACCAUAAUGAGGUAUCAUUUCACACUCACUAGGAUGGGCUAUAAUCAAAAAGACAAAUGUUGACAAGGAUGUGAAGAAACUGGGAUCUCCACUGACUGUUGGUGAGAACAUAUGAUGCAGCUGCUAUGGAAAAAUCCGGCAAUUCCAGAAAAGGUUAAACAUAAUUACCAUAUGGUCCAGCAAUUCCCCUUGUAGGCACAUAUCCCAGAAAUGAAAAUACACAUCUACACAAAAACUUGUAUAUGAACGUUCACAGCUUCAUACUCAUAAUAGUAAAAAAGUGAAAACAAUCCAAAUAUCCAUCAACUGAUGAAUAGGUAAAUAAAAUGCGGUAUACGCAUACAAUAAAAAAUUUGGCAAAAAAAGAAAUGAAAUAAGAUAUAUGAUACAAUAUGAACCUAGAAAACAUAAUGCUAAACAUUAAAGGCAGUCACAAAAACAUAUAAGGUAUGAUUCCUUAUAUACAGAAUCAUACCAAUCAUUCCCCCCAUUUUGGGGGAAAAUGGAGAGUUGACCACUAACGGGAAGGGGAUUUCUUGUUGGGGUGAUAAAAUGUUCUAAAAUUGGUUGUGGUUAUGGCUGUACAACUCUGUGACUAUAAUUAAAACCAGUGAAUUGUACACAUUAAAAUGGUGAAUUUUAUGGAAUAUAAAUUAUAUCUCAAUAAAGUCGUUAUUUAAAAAAAGAAAAAGUGCUUCAGUUGAUUCUAACAAGCAACCAGGGUAGAGAACCAUACAAAACACUUAUACCUCAUACAGUGUGGUAUCACUUAGAAAGUAGUAAAAAAUAAGAGUCAGUUAACUAUCAAGGUCCAGAUUAGCGGUUCUCCACCUUGGCUACACGCUGAAAUUAAUUAGUAAGCUCUAAACAAACUGAUGCCUAGGUCCCAUCACCAAGAGAUUUUCAUUUAAUUACUCAUGUAUGCAAAUAGUCAUUAGGAUUUUUAAGAGCUCCCCCAAUAGUUCUAAUGUGCAUUCAAGGUUGUACAGCCAAGCCACUAGUCUAGACUAUGUCUAAAGUUUCUUUUGGUACUAAAAUUCUAACUAUCUGAUCUAUUGCACUGGGAACUACAACAAUUCUUUCUGGCCUCAUGAGUGC